UACGUAGGUGGCAAGCGUUGUCCGGAUUUAUUGGGUUUAAAGGGUGCGUAGGUGGUCUAUUAAGUCAGUGCUGAAAUAUCCCGGCUUAACCGGGAGGGUGGCAUUGAUACUGAUGGACUUGAGUAAAGUUGAGGUAGGCGGAAUUGACGGUGUAGCGGUGAAAUGCUUAGAUAUCGUCAAGAACACCGAUAGCGAAGGCAGCUUACUAAGCUUUAACUGACGCUGAGGCACGAAAGUGUGGGGAUCAAACAGG
rnacentral:rRNA from 1 species